AGAGAAAGAACACACACAUGAGCUGAACACUGAGUGAUGUGUGAUGAGGAUGUGAAUGAUGGUCAUUAUCAAUAGGGCUGAGUGAUGUGUGAUGAGGAUGUGAAUGAUGGUGGUGGUGUUACCAAGUGUAAUGGCAGGAGAAGUAGUAACAGUGAAAUGCUCUUUAGUUAUCAGGAUGAAG